rnacentral:tRNA from 1 species
GCCUUAGUAGUAUAAUUAUUACUCUGGUCUUGUAAACCAGAAAUGGAGAGCUCAUCUCCCUAAGACA